rnacentral:rRNA from 1 species
UACGUAGGGUGCGAGCGUUGUCCGGAUUUAUUGGGCGUAAAGGGCUCGUAGGCGGCCUGUCGCGUCGGGAGUGAAAGCCCACUGCUUAACGGUGGGUCUGCUUCCGGUACGGGCGGGCUGGAGUAUGGCAGGGGAGAUUGGAAUUCCUGGUGUAGCGGUGGAAUGCGCAGAUAUCAGGAGGAACACCGAUGGCGAAGGCAGAUCUCUGGGCCAUUACUGACGCUGAGGAGCGAAAGCGUGGGGAGCGAACAGG